AUACGGAGGAUGCGAGCGUUAUCCGGAUUUAUUGGGUUUAAAGGGUGCGUAGGCGGGAGAUUAAGUCAGCUGUGAAAUGCCCGGGCUUAACGCGGGAAGUGCAGUUGAUACUGGUUGUCUGGAGUGCCGUUGAGGUGGGGGGAAUGUGUGGUGUAGCGGUGAAAUGCAUAGAUAUUACAAAGAACGCCGAUUGCGAAGGCACCUCACGAGGCCGGAACUGACGCUGAUGCACGAAAGUGCGGGGAUCGAACAGGAUUAGAUACCCUGGUAGUCCGCACAGUGAACGAUGAAGACUAGCUGUCGGCGAUACACCGCCGGUGGCCAAGCGAAAGCGAUAAGUCAUCCACCUGGGGAGUACGCCGGCAAGGUUGAAACUCAAAGGAAUUGACGGGG
rnacentral:rRNA from 1 species